CGAAGGGGGCUAGCGUUGCUCGGAAUCACUGGGCGUAAAGCGCACGUAGGCGGCUUUCUAAGUCAGGGGUGAAAUCCUGGAGCUCAACUCCAGAACUGCCUUUGAUACUGGAGAGCUUGAGUCCGGGAGAGGUGAGUGGAACUCCGAGUGUAGAGGUGAAAUUCGUAGAUAUUCGGAAGAACACCAGUGGCGAAGGCGGCUCACUGGCCCGGUACUGACGCUGAUGUGCGAAAGCGUGGGGAGCAAACAGGAUUAGAUACCCUGGUAGUCCACGCCGUAAACGAUGGAUGCUAGCCGUUGGCGGGUUUACCCGUCAGUGGCGCAGCUAACGCAUUAAGCAUCCCGCCUGGGGAGUACGGUCGCAAGAUUG
rnacentral:rRNA from 1 species